GGCUGGAUAGCUCAGCUGGUUAGAGCAUGGUGCUGACAACACCAAGGUUGUGGGUUCGAUCCCCAUAUGGGGCA